GUUUUUAUUUUCUUUGGAUGAAAAAACCAUUUUCCAUUUUUCGAGUGCCCAAAAGGAGGUUUUUUUGUGAAGGACCUACCAUAUUUUUGUUGCAAAAUUGGACCAAAUCAAUUUUAUAAAAUAUUAGGCCAUGUUUAAUGCACAAUUUACCAAAUGGUUGGGUGUCAAAAGUUUUGAUCCACCUCUGGUGAAAAAGACAAAUUUCUGCCGAUUCAGCUGGAAGCGGGUCAAAUUUAAACUGUAGCUGCCUUGUAGUUUGCUCUUUAUUUUUUCCAAAAAUCAUUUCUAGGUACAAAAGUAUCUUUUUAAUAAGAGAAACACUAAAAAAAUCCAAGAUUUAACCACUAGCUAGGAACGGUCAAGCCCGCCAUUUUGACCGCAUUUUGAAACGGGCGUAAAAAAUUAAAAAAAAUUAAAAAAUUGGAAAACCUUCGCAUUGUGUCAUUAUAUGUGGCCAAGUUCACAGGAAAAAUAACAAACUUGUAAUAUUGCAAUUAUUUUAAAAAAGUGUUAUUAGAAAUGAGCUAUCACGUGUGGAGAUCAAUGGCUUUCAAGGCAAAUGAUCAAUCUUAUGGCCACAUUCAUGGCAUAGUUUAUUCAAAUGAUCUCAUAUUGUGCACAAGGGUGCAUAUUGGAAUAGCAAACAAUGUUGCCUAAGAAAGUUUUCAUUUUCUUUGGACGAAAAAACUAUUUUUUAUUUUUCGAGUGCCCCAAAGGAGGUUUUUUUGUGAAGGACCUCCCAAAUAAUUGUUGCAAAAUUGUACCAAAUCAUUUUUAUAAAAUACUAGGACAUAUUUAAUGCACAAUUGACCAAAUUGUUGGGUUCGAAAAGUUUUGAUCCACCUCUCGUGAAAAAGACAAAUUUCCGCCGAUUCAGUUGGAAGCGGGUCAAAUUUGAACUGCAGCUGCCUCAUAGUUUGCUAUUUAUUUUUUCCAAAAAUCAUUUCUAGGUACAUAAGUUCUAUUUAAUCAUAGAAACACCAAAAAAAUCCAAGAUUCAACCACUCGCUAGGAACGGUCAUUCCCGCCGUUUUGAUCGCAUUUUGAAACAGGCAUAAAAAAUUCAAAAAAAUCAAAAAAUUGGGAAACCUUCGCAUUGUGUCAUUAUAUGUGGCCAAGUUCCCAGGAAAAAUAACAAACUUGUAAUAGGGCAAUUAUUUUAAAAAAGUGUUCUCAGAAAUGAGCUAUCAUUUGUGAAGAUUCAUGGCUUUCAAGCCAAAUGAUCAAUCUUAUGGCCACAUUCGUGGCAUAGUUUGUUCAGAUGAUCUCAUAUUGUGCACAAGGGUGAAUAUUGGAAUGGCAAACAAUGUUGGCUAAGGAAGUUUUCAUUUUCUUUGGACGAAAAAAACAUUUUUCAUUUUCCGAGUGCCCUAAAGGAGGGUUUUUUGUGAAGGACCUCCCAAAUAAUUGUUACAAAAUUGGACCAAAUCAAUUUUAUAAAAUACUAGGACAUAUUUAAUGAACAAUUGACAAAAUGGUAGGGUGCAAAAAGUUUUCAUCCACCUCUCGUGAAAAAGACAAAUUUCCGCAGAUUCAGCUGGAAGCGGGUCAAAUUUGAACUGCAGCUGCCUAAUAGUUUGCUCUUUAUUUUUUCCAAAAAUCAUUUCUACGUAAAUAAGUAUCUAUUUAAUCAUAGAAACACCAAAAAAAUCCAAGAUUCAACCACUAGCUAGGAACGGUCAAGCCCGCCGUUUUGACCGCAUUUUGAAACGGGCAUAAAAAAUUCAAAAAAAAUCAAAAAAUUGGAAAACCUUCGCAUUGUGUCAUUAUAUGUGACCAAGUUUCCAGUAAAAAUAAUAAACUUGUAAUAUGGUAAUUAUUUUAAAAAAGUGUUCUCAGAAAUGAGCUAUCAUGCGUGAAGAUUCAUGGCUUUCAACCCAAAUGAUCAAUCUUAUGACCACGUUCAUGGCAUAGUUUGUUCAAAUGAUCUCAUAUUGUGCACAGGGUACAUCUUGGAAUUCCAAACAAUGUUUCCUAAGGAAGUUUUCAUUUUCUUUGCACGGAAAUUUCAUUUUUCAUUUUCCGAGUGCCCAAAAGGAGGUUUUUUUGUGAAGGAACUACCAAAUAAUUGUUGCAGAAAUGGACCAAAUCAAUUUUAUAAAAUACUAGGCCAUAUAUAAUGCACAAUUGACAAAAUGGUUGGGUGAAAAAAGUUUUGAUCCACCUCUGGUGAAAAAGACAAAUUGUCGUGG
rnacentral:lncRNA from 1 species